GUCUUCUUGUUAUAUUUAGGAAGUCUGGCCUGCCCAGUGAAAAUUAAUUUAACGGCCGCGGUAUAUUGACCGUGCAAAGGUAGCAUAAUCAUUAGUCUUUUAAUAGAGGGCUGGUAUGAAAGGUUUAACGAGGUGUUAACUGUCUCAUUUAAUUUGAAUAUUAGAAUUUAAUUUUUUAGUUAAAAAGCUAAAAUACUGUUGGAAGACGAGAAGACCCUAUAGAGCUUUAUAUUUUUAUUAUUAAUUUAUUAUAGAUUAUUAUUAUUUAUUAUUAAUGAAAAUAUUUUGUUGGGGUGACAAAAAUAUAUAAAUAACUUUUUUAUUUUAUUUACAUUGAUAUAUGAGUACUAGAUCCAAUCUUAUUGAUUGUUAGAUUAAGUUACCUUAGGGAUAACAGCGUAAUCCCUCUCCAGAGUUCAUAUUUACAGAGGGGCUUGCGACCUCGAUGUUGGAUUAAGAUAAUAAUUAGGUGUAGCCGCUUAAUUAAUAGGUCUGUUCGACCUUUAAAUUCUU
rnacentral:rRNA from 1 species